GUGUCCCUCCUUGGGGAGGGACAGAGACCAAACAUGUUUUGUCUCAGGGUGAGGAC
rfam:Metagenome sequence 3634299_fasta.screen.Contig4944, whole genome shotgun sequence.